rnacentral:rRNA from 1 species
UUGACACAGGGAGGUAGUGACAAUAAAUAACAAUAUCGGGCUUUUUCAAGUCUGAUAAUUGGAAUGAGUACAAUUUAAAUCCCUUAACGAGGAUCCACUGGAGGGCAAGUCUGGUGCCAGCAGCCGCGGUAAUUCCAGCUCCAGUAGCGUAUAUUAAAGUUGUUGCAGUUAAAAAGCUCGUAGUUGGAUUUCUGGCAUGCUGCGCCUGGCCCGCUAACGUUAGUUGGUGAGUGCUGGUGCGCGGUUGCCAUCCUUCUAGAGAACGUGUCUACCCUUCACUGGGCCGGAUUCGGGAUCUAGAUCAUUUACUUUGAAAAAAUUAGAGUGUUUAAAGCAGGCUUAUGCUAUGAAUACAUUAGCAUGGAAUAAUAAUAUAGGACUUUGGUUCUAUUUUGUUGGUUUCUAGGACUAAAGUAAUGAUUGAUAGGGAUAGUUGGGGGUGCUAGUAUUUAACGGCCAGAGGUGAAAUUCUUGGAUUCGUUAAAGACUAACUUAUGCGAAAGCAUUCACCAAGGAUGUCUUCUUUAAUCAAGAACGAAAGUUGGGGGAUCGAAGACGAUCAGAUACCGUCGUAGUCUCAACCAUAAAACUAUGCCGACUAGGGGAUGAGUGAUCGUU